UGAGGAAAUUCCAUGUAUGAACCUGAAAACCUGAAUUCCUACCUUAAGAAAGUAGCAGACAUUUCUACCCCGGGCUCCUGCGUCCAGAGGAAGAGCAAAACUCACCGUGGCCCACGGGAUGCUGGUCAUCUCCCCUCUGUUUCCUCUCUGGUUUCAUCUCUGCUUCUCCCUCGGCCUCUCUGGUGUUCCUGGUACUGGAGACCCCUGCAGUUAGGUUCCAGUCCCCUGCCCAGUAUAUGAUGCAGGCCUGAGAAAUCAAACUAAAAGACAGAACCAGGAGAGAAAGCGGGCGCCAGGACGACCAAUGCCGGUGCAACUGACAAAGGCGCUGGCCAGUCCCGGGCCCUGACAUUUGUUGGCCAUCCAUUGGGGUAGAGGAAGCCACGUCAUCUCUCUGAACCUCAGUCUCCUCGUCUGUAGAGUGGACAUACUCCUAGGACUGUCUCAGGGGGCCGUCAUGUAGAGACUGUGGAGUUCUUUGUCUUGUGUUAUUGAAAAAUAACACAGGUGAUUUCUGUUUACAUAAAACAAGGAAUGGACAUAAAUGGAUUCUUAGAGAAG
rnacentral:lncRNA from 1 species